rnacentral:rRNA from 1 species
UACAGGGGGUGCAAACGUUGCUCGGAAUUAUUGGGCGUAAAGCGCGCGUAGGCGGCCGCUUAAGUCGGAUGUGAAAGCCCCUGGCUCAACUGGGGAAGUGCACCCGAAACUGAGUGGCUUGAGUACUAAAGAGGGUCGCGGAAUUCCCGGUGUAGAGGUGAAAUUCGUAGAUAUCGGGAGGAACACCGGUGGCGAAGGCAGCCUCCUGGGCCAGCACUGACGCUCAUGCACGAAAGCGUGGGGAGCAAACAGG